UGGGGUAUAGCUCAGUGGUAGAGCGCGUAUGUAGCAUUCAUGAGGUCCUGGGUUCAAUCUCUAGUACCUCCA
rnacentral:tRNA from 1 species